rnacentral:rRNA from 1 species
AUUGAACGCUGGCGGCAUGCCUUACACAUGCAAGUCGAACGGUAACGCGGGGCAACCUGGCGACGAGUGGCGAACGGGUGAGUAAUAUAUCGGAACGUGCCCAGUAGUGGGGGAUAGCCCGGCGAAAGCCGGAUUAAUACCGCAUACGACCCUACGGGUGAAAGGCGGGGGGAUCGCAAGACCUCGCGCUAUUGGAGCGGCCGAUAUCAGAUUAGGUAGUUGGUGGGGUAAAGCCUACCAAGCCUACGAUCUGUAGCUGGUCUGAGAGGACGACCAGCCACACUGGGACUGAGACACGGCCCAGACUCCUAC